rnacentral:rRNA from 1 species
GACGAACGCUGGCGGCGUGCCUAAUACAUGCAAGUCGAGCGGACUUUCAAGAAGCUUGCUUUUUGAAAGUUAGCGGCGGACGGGUGAGUAACACGUGGGCAACCUGCCUGCAAGACGGGGAUAACUCCGGGAAACCGGGGCUAAUACCGGAUAAUAUCUUCCUUCGCAUGAAGGAAGGUUGAAAGGCGGCGCAAGCUGCCGCUUGCAGAUGGGCCCGCGGCGCAUUGGCUAGUUGGUGAGGUAACGGCUCACCAAGGCGACGAUGCGUAGCCGACCUGAGAUGGUGGUCGGCCACACUGGGACUGAGACACGGCCCAGACUCCUACGGGAGGCAGCAGUAGGGAAUCUUCCGCAAUGGACGAAAGUCUGACGGAGCAACGCCGCGUGAGCGAAGAAGGUCUUCGGAUCGUAAAGCUCUGUUGUCAGGGAAGAACAAGUACCGUUCGAACAGGGCGGUACCUUGACGGUACCUGACCAGAAAGCCACGGCUAACUACGUG